rnacentral:rRNA from 1 species
GAUGAACGCUGGCGGCGUGCUUAACACAUGCAAGUCGAACGAUUCCCUCGGGAGCUUGCUCCUGCUGGUUUUGUGGCGAACGGGUGAGUAACACGUGAGCAAUCUGCCCCGAACUCUGGUAUAAGCGUUGGAAACGACGUCUAAUACCGGAUACGACGCGCGAAGGCAUCUUCUGCGCGUGGAAAGAAUUUCGGUUCGGGAUGAGCUCGCGGCCUAUCAGCUAGUUGGUGAGGUAACGGCUCACCAAGGCGACGACGGGUAGCCGGCCUGAGAGGGUGACCGGCCACACUGGGACUGAGACACGGCCCAGACUCCUACGGGAGGCAGCAGUGGGGAAUAUUGCACAAUGGGCGCAGGCCUGAUGCAGCAACGCCGCGUGAGGGACGACGGCCUUCGGGUUGUAAACCUCUUUUAGCAGGGAAGAAGCGAAAGUGACGGUACCUGCAGAAAAAGCACCGGCUAACUACGUGCCAGCAGCCGCCGUAACAC